GACGUAGGGGGCAAGCGUUGUCCGGAUUUAUUGGGCGUAAAGAGCGUGUAGGCGGCUGGGUAGGUCCGUUGUGAAAACUCGAGCUCAACCUCGAGACGCCGAUGGAAACCCUCCAGCUAGAGUCCGGAAGAGGAGAGUGGAAUUCCUGGUGUAGCGGUGAAAUGCGCAGAUAUCAGGAAGAACACCCGUGGCUAAGGCGGCUCUCUAGUACGGUACUGACGCUGAGACGCGAAAGCGUGGGGAGCGAACAGG
rnacentral:rRNA from 1 species